CACCUUCCACCAGCCCAGGUUGCUCCAAGCCCCAUCCAGCCUGGCCUUGGACACUCCCAGGGAUGGGGCAGCCACAGCUUCUCUGGGCAACCUGUGCCAGGGCCUGCCCAC